AUACAUUUCUUUCAUCUCUAAGUGAAUCAAAUGACUUUGUAUCUCGGGUGGAGUUUUCCUCUCUUUACUUAGUGGAAUGAGGAAUUGAAAUGCAGAUGAAGUUGAGUUCAAGAAAAAUCACGUUUCUUAUGCAGCUGAUGGAAAGAUUCAUACAUUCUUGUGAUGCUGGUCAGUGGGGAGGUAGGCGUUGCGGGAGGCUGUGUGGUUCUGCAGUACUGCUCCUAAGCAAACUCCACGUUGCUGCCCUGGGGAGGACAAAAGGCUGAUUCGCUGAAAGAAUCAUUAACAGAGAUGGCGGAAGGAGGUUACAUGUUAUUCAAGAUGGGAUUGUGAAGUGAAGGAGGAAAAAACAUACCCCAGAGAUCCUGGACUGAGAGCUGGAUACAGUAAGGAUUGCGACAUAACUUUGAAGUCGAACACAUUUGGGAGCACAUCUGCGUUUGUACAGCAAGAGGCAAUAGGGAAGUGUUAAAACCAAGAUAAAAUAGAAUGAAAAAAUAAGCCCACAAAUAUGUGCAUACUAAAUAAGAAGCUGGUAACUUCAUUCACAGUCAGUUGGUUAGGACAUAGACAUGUUUUCAAAAUUUAACAUUCUAUUUUGUGGUUUCAAUAGUGAUGGUUGUCAUUUAAAUAGGCAUAAUGAUGGCAAUGAAGAUAUCCUUGGAAGGGAAGAUAACUUUUAAUCAAUAAAAUUGUUUCUGUGUUACUUCGUUAAUAUUUAUAUUUACAUACUCCACAUCGUGAUGGAUAUUUCACAUGCAUAAAUACGAUUUGACAUAUUGUACAUAAAGAUGAAAGUUUAGGGAAUUAGAAUUUUCUUUAAAAAGCCCAAUAUAACAGAACUAUUAUUAUUCACUUUAACAACCUUUCUUAUGAUCAUGUCAAGCUAUCAAAUAUUCAAGUGGUAAGGAUAAAAGACCAUAUUUGGUAUAAAAGACCUCUUUCUAACAUUCUAUUACUGCUGUUUGCCUUGCUGAGGUUCAAAUUGUGUUUGAGAAUAAAACUAUGAAGAUAACUUAAAUCACUAUCUUAUUUACUGUUCAAAGACACUUUUAAAAAUCAUUAGAGGACUGCAAAGACCAGAAAUGCUUUAGACUCGUCAUCAUUUAGCACACAUUCAGUGUACACAAGGCACUAUCUACUGAGUUAACCAUCUACUGAGUAAGUCAGGCAGGAUGAAAAUGACUCACUGCAACACUGUUAGGAUAAAUCUGGACCCCAUGUUAGUGUAAGCAUGAGCCAGGCUAACAACUUUCUCUACAUCCACCCAACAAACUAAAAGAAACCAGACAUCAAGGAAGUGCCCCCUCUCAGCCAAAAGUCUGUGAAACAUUCACUCAGAUUUAGCUUUAAUUCCUGACGUAUAUCUGGUUGAAGAAAUUUAGCAAUGUGUAUGAUCCUUUCUAAGGCAGGCACUUGUCAUAUGUAUUUUUAUUUUCUUUGAUAGGAUCUGCACUGACUUGAACUGAGAACUACCAACUGGUGUAUUCUUCAGCCCCAUGAACCAAGACAGCCCUUGAUAUUUAUUAAUCUUUUACUGAUGCAUGAUUAAAGGAAUGCUUUUCUCCUCUCCAAGUUUCAGCGAUCGUCUCCAGGCCAACUGGUGUGGCUCCACUUCAGGAUGCAGGUCUGGGAAUCCACAUCUGUUCCAUGUGUCUCUUAUCCUCCUUGGGCCAGUGGACCAGCUAGUGAUCCUCUUCUUGCAGCAAAAGCAGGAGCACAAGAGUGCAAGCCCCAUUCCUCAAUGACAUUUCAAGUCCUUGCUUGUGACACUUCUGCUCAUGUCCUAUUGACCAAAGGAAGGCAUUUUGCUGAGUCCGACAUCCAUAAAGUGGAGAAAUGCUCCACCCCUGUGAGACCAUGGCAUAGCCAUGAAGGCAUAUAACUACUACAGGGGAGGGAAGAAUUGUCACCAGUAAUUUCAUCUACCACAACACAUUUAUUGGUUAUGAAUUGCUGUGAAUUUCUGGUUCAUAGUCUUUGCUCAUGUUGUCUUGAGUUGCUUGUAUUUUGCUUAUUGUUUUGUAGAUAUUCUUUACAUAAUGUGGAUUCUGAUUUUUAUCUAUUAUAAGAUUAUGAAAAAUCUUAUUUUAGUACAUGGCUUAUCUUUUCACUUUGUUUAUGAUAUUUGUCUUGUAAAGUUUAAAAUUUGACUGCAGUCUAAAUAGUUAUCAGUUUUUUCUUUUACAGUUUGCACUCAUUGUGUUGUUUUAGAAAAUUAUCUGCAUCCUGAGGUCAUUAAUAUACCCUCCAAUGUUAUCUUCUAAGAGUAGUAAAGUUUCAUUUUUCCAUGUAGGUUCAUGAUUUGCUCAGAACUUUUAAGUUUUUUCUAUUUUUUUCUGUAAAUUCUCUUAUAUAUUCUACAUAAAUAAUCAUAUCAUUUAUGAGUAAUAAAAUUUGGUCUUUUUGUUUCCAAUUCUUAAAUCUUUUUUUCUUUUUCUUAUGACACUAAUCCAGAAAAAUGUGGACCAGGAGUUGCACAGCAAGUAUCCCACCCACUCCUUGAUUUUAAUGGAAAUAUUUCCAAUGUUUUACUACUGCAGGAGAUUGAUCACAAAGAAAGUAAUCAGAAAAUAAAUGAUAAGCUAAAAUUCCAUAUACCACUAAAAUAUUAUUAUAGAACAUAGGCAAAAU
rnacentral:lncRNA from 1 species